rnacentral:rRNA from 1 species
UACGGGGGGGGCAAGCGUUGUUCGGAAUUACUGGGCGUAAAGGGUGCGUAGGCGGCUUUCUAAGUCGGAUGUGAAAACUCUGGGCUCAACCCAGAGCCUGCAUCCGAAACUGGAGAGCUAGGAUUCUGGAGGGGAAAGCGGAAUUCCUGGUGUAGCGGUGAAAUGCGCAGAUAUCGGGAAGAACACCCGUGGCGAAGGCGGUUCUCUGGGACGGUACUGACGCUGAGACGCGAAAGCGUGGGGAGCGAACAGG